rnacentral:miRNA from 1 species
UUAUCAAAUGUUGCAAAAAGAGAAAUCUUUAGCAACGUUAAACGUUGCUAAAGAUUUCUCUUUUUGCAACAUUUGAUA